rnacentral:rRNA from 1 species
GACGAACGCUGGCGGCGUGCUUAACACAUGCAAGUCGAACGGAAAGGCCCUGCUUUUGUUGGGUGCUCGAGUGGCGAACGGGUGAGUAACACGUGAGUAACCUGCCCUUGACUUUGGGAUAACUUCAGGAAACUGGGGCUAAUACCGGAUAGGAGCUCCUGCUGCAUGGUGGGGGUUGGAAAGUUUCGGCGGUUGGGGAUGGACUCGCGGCUUAUCAGCUUGUUGGUGGGGUAGUGGCUUUCGAAGGCUUUGACGGGUAGCCGGCCUGAGAGGGUGACCGGCCACAUUGGGACUGAGAUACGGACCAGACUCCUACGGGAGGCAGCAGUGGGGAGUCUUGCACAAUGGGCGGAAGCCUGAUGCAGAAACGCCGCGUGCGGGAUGACGGCCUUCGGGUUGUAAACCGCUUUCGCCUGUGACGAAGCGUGAGUGACGGUAAUGGGUAAAGAAGCACCGGCUAACUACGUG